rnacentral:rRNA from 2 species
GGCUAGCACAGGUGCUGCAUGGCUGUCGUCAGCUCGUGUCGUGAGAUGUUCGGUUAAGUCCGCUAACGAGCGCAACCCUCGCUGUGUGUUAUAUGUGUCACAUGGGACUGCCGGCCUUAAGCCGGAGAAGGUGGGGAUGAUGUCAAGUCAGCAUGGCCUUUAUGUCCUGGGCUACACACACGCUACAAUGGUCAGCACAAUGGGUCGCUAAGCCGCAAGGUGGAGCCAAUCCUCAAAGUUGGCCUCAGUUCAGAUUGUAGGCUGCAACUCGCCUGCAUGAAGAUGGAGUUGCUAGUAAACGCAGGUCAGCUAUACUGCGUUGAAUACGUUCCCGGGGCUU